UCCCAGACUCCUACGGGAGGCAGCAGUGGGGAAUAUUGCACAAUGGGGGAAACCCUGAUGCAGCAACGCCGCGUGAGUGAAGAAGUAUUUCGGUAUGUAAAGCUCUAUCAGCAGGGAAGAAAAUGACAGUACCUGACUAAGAAGCCCCGGCUAACUACGUGCCAGCAGCCGCGGUAAUACGUAGGGGGCAAGCGUUAUCCGGAUUUACUGGGUGUAAAGGGAGCGUAGACGGCUGCGCAAGUCAGAAGUGAAAGCCCGGGGCUCAACCGCGGGACUGCUUUUGAAACUGUGUAGCUAGAGUGCAGGAGAGGUAAGUGGAAUUCCGUGUGUAGCGGUGAAAUGCGUAGAUAUACGGAGGAACACCAGUGGCGAAGGCGGCCUGCUGGACAUUAACUGACGCUGAGGCGCGAAAGCGUGGGGAGCAAACAGGAUUAGAUACCCGAGUA
rnacentral:rRNA from 1 species